UAACCUGCCCAAGAGACUGGGAUAACACCUGGAAACAGAUGCUAAUACCGGAUAACAACACUAGACGCAUGUCUAGAGUUUAAAAGAUGGUUCUGCUAUCACUCUUGGAUGGACCUGCGGUGCAUUAGCUAGUUGGUAAGGUACCGGCUUACCAAGGCAAUGAUGCAUAGCCGAGUUGAGAGACUGAUCGGCCACAUUGGGACUGAGACACGGCCCAAACUCCUACGGAAGGCAGCAG
rnacentral:rRNA from 1 species